rnacentral:misc_RNA from 1 species
UACGGAGGGGGCAAGCGUUGUUCGGAAUUACUGGGCGUAAAGGGCGCGUAGGCGGAUAUUCAAGUCAGAGGUGAAAGCCCUGGGCUCAACCUGGGAAUUGCCUUUGAAACUGGAUGUCUGGAGUUCGGGAGAGGUGAGCGGAAUACCCAGUGUAGAGGUGAAAUUCGUAGAUAUUGGGUAGAACACCGGUGGCGAAGGCGGCUCACUGGCCCGCAACUGACGCUGAGGCGCGAAAGCGUGGGGAGCAAACAGG